UAAAUUUUUAACUAUCUGAUUAUAUAUAUUUACGAUUGAUUUUCGGUUUAAUAUUUUCACCAACGGUCAUGAAGAAAUUUUUCAAAAUUUUACACUUUUCAAACGGCUAGGAACAGUAUUUAUAACGGUUAUGAACAAUAAAUUUCAAUCUAUAAAUACAAUCAUAUUUCAUUCAUUUCAUUUCACUCAUUCAUCAUAUCUCUCUCUAAAAUCUAAGAAAAAAAAAU
rnacentral:lncRNA from 1 species